rnacentral:SRP_RNA from 1 species
GCUAGGCCGACGCGGUGGCGGCGGCCUGUAGUCCCAGCUACUCGGGAGGCUGAGACGGGAGGAUCGCUUGAGCCCAGGAGUUCUGGGCUGUAGUGCGCUAUGCCGAUCGGGUGUCCACACUAAGUUCGGCAUCAAUAUGGUGACCUCCCGGGAGCGGGGGACCACCAGGUUGCCUAAGGAGGGGUGAACCGGCCCAGGUCGGAAACGGAGCAGGUCAAAACUCCCGUGCUGAUCAGUAGUGGGAUCGCGCCUGUGAAUAGCCACUGCACUCCAGCCUGGGCAACAUAGCGAGACCCCGUCUCU